rnacentral:rRNA from 1 species
AACGAACGCUGGCGGCGUGCCUAACACAUGCAAGUCGAACGGAGAUAAGGGGCUUGCUCCUUAUUUUAGUGGCGCACGGGUGAGUAACGCGUAGAUAAUCUGCCUGAUGAUCUGGGAUAACAGUUCGAAAGGACUGCUAAUACCGGAUAAGCCCACGGGGUCUUUGGACUCUGCGGGAAAAGGGGGGGACCUUCGGGCCUUCUGUCAUCAGAUGAGUCUGCGUACCAUUAGCUAGUUGGUAGGGUAAUGGCCUACCAAGGCUACGAUGGUUAGCGGGUCUGAGAGGAUGAUCAGCCACACGGGAACUGAGACACGGUCCAGACUCCCACGGGAGGUAGCAGUGGGGAAUUUUGCGCAAUGGGCGAAAGCCUGACGCAGCAACGCCGCGUGAGUGAUGAAGGCUUUCGGGUCGUAAAGCUCUGUCAGAGGGAAAGAAGUGUAUUGUGGCUAAUAUCCACGAUACUUGACGGUACCCUCAAAGGAAGCACCGGCUAACUCCGUGCCAGCCGCCGCCGUAACAC